AAAAUCUUGAAUUCCCAUGUAAAAUAUCUCUCCAGGGUCACAGAAGGAGGGGAAAGGUAUCUGAGAGCUUUGUAGAGAGCGACAGCUGCAGAGGCUCAAAGUGAGGAGAAAACGCUCCAGCUGGGUUCAGGGUCUUUGUGCCAGUGAAGCUCGGACUCCAAGGAGGCAGGGUAGCAGUCCCCGAACAGUGAAAGAGAGUAGACUGCAGUCUCCACUAACUAACCACGAGGAAGGGGCUGAUGACCAAUUUUUAACCCACCAUAACCUUCUCCUCAGGACAAGAAACCUCUGUGGCACCUGAGUUCUUGUCCUGCCUCCAGGAAGAAUGAGGUCAUGAGGUACACAGACAAGUGAAGGGUGAAGAAGAUGCAGAGAAGCUUUAUUGAAUGCUAGAACAGCUCAGAGGUGAUCUGCAGUGAGCUCCUCUCUGUAGUUUUCAGAUCAGAAACGCAGAGCUUCGGGUGAGCCGUCUCUGGAUCCAGAGUCACCUCCACUGGGGUGCGGUGGGGGAGAGAGGAAGCAUGAGUUACUGAAGACGAAAUCUGGGCUGGAGCAAGAGGUCGACCCUCCCACUGCAGACUGGCUCCGGGUAGGAUCCGGCCAGUCCCACUAUCCCACCAGCCAUGUACCUUCUCCAGGGCAGCCCCCGUGCCUCACUGAUGCUUGGAGAUGCUCAACCAUGAGAUGUUCACCCAGCCCUACCACUGCCCUCCCAC
rnacentral:lncRNA from 10 species